rnacentral:tRNA from 1 species
GGGCAUGUGGUGUAGUUGGUUAUCACGCUCGCUUAGCACUUCAAUGCUUGCGAGAGGGGUCCGGUUCAAUCCCGGACAUGUCCA